rnacentral:rRNA from 1 species
UACGUAGGAUCCAAGCGUUGUCCGGAUUUAUUGGGUUUAAAGGGUGCGCAGGCGGCUGGAUAAGUCAGUGGUGAAAGCCUACCGCUUAACGGUAGAAAUGCCAUUGAUACUGUUCAGCUUGAGUAUAGUUGAGGUUGGCGGAAUGUAUCAUGUAGCGGUGAAAUGCAUAGAUAUGAUACAGAACACCGAUUGCGAAGGCAGCUGACUAAGCUAUUACUGACGCUCAUGCACGAAAGCGUGGGGAUCAAACAGG